rnacentral:lncRNA from 1 species
AUGAAAACAUCCUGUGCAUGGUCUCCCGAUAAAACAAUCCGUUUUUGGCGUCUUUUUGGAAGCCCGGGGAGGAUCCUUCCCGUGGCCCUGGGGACCAAGAACGAAAGGGCGUGCUGUGUUGCCUGGGUUGGUCCUGCUGCUUCCGCCAAGACCAAGUCACCCCCUUCCCUUGGCUCCAGGCUGGUGGACACCACCGUGGGCUCUGUCUCCUUAGCCCUCCCUCUGGGCUCGGCGCCUUCUCUCACCCUUUGCACGUGGGGUGAGGUCCACGUUCUUUCUGCGGGCGAUGGAUCUGGCAGGGCCACGUGACGGAGAGGAUGACGCCGACCCAGUGCCUUCCUCGAAGCAAUUUUCUCAAUGCCUGAAGACCCUGGGUUUGCUUCCAGUGCACAGAGCUGGUGUCUUCAUGGAGGGUUUUAUGCUCGUGAGCACGUGAUGGUAAGAUUUGAGUCCUUGGGGCUGGCGUUGUUGGUGUGGUUGGUAAAGCUACCACCUGCAGUGCCGGCAUCCCAUAAGGGCACUGGUUCGAGUCCCGGCUGCUCCUCUUCCCAUCCAGCUCUCUGCUAAUGGCCUGGGAAAGCAGUAGAAGAUGGCCCAAGUGCCUAGGCCCCUGCACCUGUGUGGGAGACCCGGAAAAAGCUCCUGGCUUCAGAUCAGCACAGCUCCAGCCGUUGCGACAAUCUGGGGAAUGAAUCAGCAGGUGGAAGACGGCUCUCCCUGCCUCUGUCUCUCUGUAACUCUGCCUUUCAAAUAAAUAAAUAAAUCUUUAAAAAUACCCA